rnacentral:rRNA from 1 species
GUACACGUGUGACUAGCAUAUCAAUAAGCGGAGGAAAAGAAACUAACUAGGAUUCCCUCAGUAACGGCGAGUGAAGCGGGAAGAGCUCAAAUUUGAAAUCUUCAAGGUUCUACCUUGACGAAUUGUAGUUUAAAGAAGUGUUUUCUGUUGAAGUUUUGGUAAAAGUUCUUUGGAAUAGGACAUCAUAGAGGGUGAGAAUCCCGUAUUUGACCAUUAUUUCCAGCUUUGUGAUACACUUUCAAAGAGUCGGAUUGUUUGGGAAUGCAGUCCAAAAUGGGUGGUAAAUUUCAUCUAAAGCUAAAUAUUGGCGAGAGACCGAUAGCGAACAAGUACCGUGAGGGAAAGAUGAAAAGAACUUUGAAAAGAGAGUUAAACAGUACGUGAAAUUGUCAAAAGGGAAGCGUUUGACACCAGUGUUGUUUUCUCGAAAAUCAAUUAAAAAAGGCAGGAUUUUGUGUUGUAUUGACUUUAUCAGCUUUCUGCACUCUUUUCUUGUCUUUUUUAAUGCACUUUUCGUUUAACAAGUCAACAUCAAUUUCUUUUGUUGUAAAAGGGUCAUUGGAAGGUGGCUUUCUUUUCGGAGAAAGUGUUUAUAGCCUUUGGCCUCUGCAAUCGGAGAGAUUGAGGUCUGCAGCGUAGAUCCUUCGGGGUUAGAUACAUUUGUGCUAAGUUAUAGCCUUUCAUAGACAACUUGUUGACUAUGAUCAGUCAUGUAGCUUACUCGCUUAUGCUAUUUUACCUACGCUUAGGAUGUUGAAGACUCUACAGAGAUA